UCUAAAAGUAAUCAAACUUACAUCUAAGUUAUUAUUUCCAUCUUUUCGUGCGAUCGCGUGUAAUGUAAGUCAAAUGACAUCUCGGCUUUCGUCGCCUUAAAUUCUCGGCUCGGACACGAUGUUUAUUACUAAAGAAAAUACGGCAUUCAUCAUUUGCCGAUUGACAACGAUUUGUUGUUGUUUUGACUUGCGCAAAUAUAGAAAAAUACUUCGUGUUUUUGAACGGCGAAACGACCGCCUUAGCUGUCACCUGGGCGGAUGUCGUACAGCGCAUGCGUGGGUACUAAACUCUUAACAUCGUUAGUGCAUUACUUAAUAACGGAAAUCGCCAAACUUAAUUAAAGACAAGGAGCCAGUUGGCGACUGACAUGAAAAUACCAGUCGCAAAAUACAAAACUAGAUCGCCAUGGCGACCAAUUUAGUCGCAACUUUGUGGCCUGCCAAGGUCGUCUUAAUGAUAGAUGAUAAGCCACCAAAGAAGACAAUCACUGGUGCUUACUAUGCAGAUCUAAUGAAGAAAUUGCGAAAUGUAAUCAAAGAGAAACGGCGCGGGAUGUUAACUGCUUGUGUUUUGCCUCUUCACGACAAUGCACCUGUCCACAAGAGUAGGCUAGAGUUGCGCAAGCCGCCAUUCGUGAAUGCAAGUUUGAACGAUUGAAUCAUCCCCCAUAUAGCCUAGUCCAGACCUGGCACCAAGUGACUAUUAUCUGUUUCGAAAUCUCAAGUCACACCUGCGUGGAACGAGAUUUGCCAAUGAUGACGACCUCAUUGCUGCUACAGAAGAUUGGUUUGGGGGGCAAGCAGAAGACUUCUAUUUUCAGGGAAUUGAGAGUCUACAGCAUAAAUGGGAAAAGUAUAUUCAAGUGCAUGGAGAUUAUAUUGAAAAAUAAAAACAUGAAACUCCA